CAGAGGGUGCAAGCGUUAAUCGGAAUUACUGGGCGUAAAGGGAGCGUAGGUGGCUCGAUAAGUCAGAUGUGAAAUCCCCGGGCUCAACCUGGGAACUGCAUCUGAUACUGUUGAGCUAGAGUAUGUGAGAGGAAGGUAGAAUUCCAGGUGUAGCGGUGAAAUGCGUAGAGAUCUGGAGGAAUACCGAUGGCGAAGGCAGCCUUCUGGCAUAAUACUGACACUGAGGCUCGAAAGCGUGGGUAGCAAACAGGGUU
rnacentral:rRNA from 1 species